rnacentral:rRNA from 1 species
UACGUAGGGUGCAAGCGUUGUCCGGAAUUAUUGGGCGUAAAGGGCGUGCAGGCGGUUUGUUAAGUGCAGGGUGAAAGCUCCCGGCUCAACUGGGAGAGGUCCUUGCAUACUGGCGAACUCGAGGGAGGCAGAGGAAAGUGGAAUUCCCGGUGUAGUGGUGAUAUGCGUAGAUAUCGGGAGGAACACCUGUGGCGAAGGCGGCUUUCUGGGCCUUACCUGACGCUGAGACGCGAAAGCGUGGGGAGCGAACCGG